UUGAAGACGAAUCUUGAUCUAUCGACGAAGUAUCAAAUGAGAUAGAAAUCAUUUUGAUUUUAUAUUAUUUGGUACUUCGUCGAUUUGAUUAAAAUUCGAUAUUUCAU
rnacentral:pre_miRNA from 1 species